rnacentral:misc_RNA from 1 species
AACCAUAGAAACCUGCGGAGUACCUGCGGAAGGAUCAUUACCGAGUGCGGGUCCGCGUGGCCCAACCUCCCACCCGUGUCUAUUGUACCCUGUUGCUUCGGCGGGCCCGCCAGCCUUCGGGCUGGCCGCCGGGGGGCGUCUCGCCCCCGGGCCCGUGCCCGCCGGAGACCCCAACAUGAACCCUGUUCUGAAAGCUUGGUGUCUGAGUGUGAUUGUUUGCAAUCAGUUAAAACUUUUAAC